CGGAUUAGCCCAAACCAAUAAAGUUUUCUUUAUUGGGGUUGCGGACAUAUCAUAACGAAGAGGUAUCGUAAUUGAAGAGGUUUGGAAAGACCCACCACAGAAGGUAAUAGUCCUGUAUGUUAAACGAGAAGACUUUAGAUAUGAUCCAGAGUACCACGGGACACGUGAAACCCUGUGGGAAGCAGGAGGGACCACCCUCCAAGGCUAAAUACUACCUAGUGACCGAUAGCGUAUAGUACCGUGAGGGAAAGGUGAAAAGAACCCCGGGAGGGGAGUGAAAUAGAACCUGAAACCCUGCACUUACAAGCUGUGGAAGCACAUUUCUUGUGUGACCGCGUACUUUUUGUAGAACGGGCCAACGAGUUACGUUAAGUAGCAAGGUUAAGCACUUAAGGUGCGGAGCCGUAGCGAAAGCGAGUUUUAACUGAGCGUUCAG
rnacentral:rRNA from 1 species